AGAAACUUAGGAUAAUACCUUAAACCAAGGACCUUCAAAGCCCUUAAUAGGAGUGAAACCCCCCUAGUUUCUG
rnacentral:tRNA from 1 species